rnacentral:rRNA from 1 species
AGCCCAGAGUCUGAAUCAGCUUGUGUGUUAGUGGAACGGUCUGGAAAGUCCGACGGUACAGGGUGAUAGUCCCGUACACCAAAAUGCACAGGCUGUGAACUCGAAGAGUAGGGCGGGACACGUGGUAUCCUGUCUGAAUAUGGGGGGACCAUCCUCCAAGGCUAAAUACUCCUGACUGACCGAUAGUGAACCAGUACCGUGAGGGAAAGGCGAAAAGAACCCCGGCGAGGGGAGUGAAAAAGAACCUGAAACCGUGUACGUACAAGCAGUGGGAGCCCCACCACUAAGCCAGUGGUGAACUCCACAUAUGCAUCCUUUGCUGAAGGUGCGGUUAACGGAGCGUAAGCGACGUUCAACCUCAAAAGAAGCAGAGGGGGCUUAGUGGUGGGGUGACUGCGUACCUUUUGUAUAAUGGGUCAGCGACUUAUAUUCUGUAGCAAGGUUAACCGUAUAGGGGAGCCGCAGGGAAACCGAGUCUUAACUGGGCGUUAAGUUGCAGGGUAUAGACCCGAAACCCGGUGAUCUAGCCAUGGGCAGGUUGAAGGUUGGGUAACACUAACUGGAGGACCGAACCGACUAAUGUUGAAAAAUUAGCGGAUGACUUGUGGCUGGGGGUGAAAGGCCAAUCAAACCGGGAGAUAGCUGGUUCUCCCCGAAAGCUAUUUAGGUAGCGCCUCGUGAACUCAUCUUCGGGGGUAGAGCACUGUUUCGGCUAGGGGGUCAUCCCGACUUACCAACCCGAUGCAAACUACGAAUACCGAAGAAUGUUAUCACGGGAGACACACGGCGGGUGCUAACGUCCGUCGUGAAGAGGGAAACAACCCAGACCGCCAGCUAAGGUCCCAAAGUCAUGGUUAAGUGGGAAACGAUGUGGGAAGGCACAGACAGCCAGGAUGUUGGCUUAGAAGCAGCCAUCAUUUAAAGAAAGCGUAAUAGCUCACUGGUCGAGUCGGCCUGCGCGGAAGAUGUAACGGGGCUAAACCAUGCACCGAAGCUGCGGCAGCGACGCUUAUGCGUUGUUGGGUAGGGGAGCGUUCUGUAAGCCUGCGAAGGUGACCUGUGAGGGUUGCUGGAGGUAUCAGAAGUGCGAAUGCUGACAUAAGUAACGAUAAAGCGGGUGAAAAGCCCGCUCGCCGGAAGACCAAGGGUUCCUGUCCAACGUUAAUCGGGGCAGGGUGAGUCGACCCCUAAGGCGAGGCCGAAAGGCGUAGUCGAUGGGAAACAGGUUAAUAUUCCUGUACUUGGUGUUACUGCGAAGGGGGGACGGAGAAGGCUAUGUUAGCCGGGCGACGGUUGUCCCGGUUUAAGCAUGUAGGCUGGUUAUCCAGGCAAAUCCGGAUAAUCAAGGCUGAGGUGUGAUGACGAGGCACUACGGUGCUGAAGUAACAAAUGCCCUGCUUCCAGGAAAAGCCUCUAAGCAUCAGGUAACANAAAUCGUACCCCAAACCGACACAGGUGGUCAGGUAGAGAAUACCAAGGCGCUUGAGAGAACUCGGGUGAAGGAACUAGGCAAAAUGGUGCCGUAACUUCGGGAGAAGGCACGCUGGUGUGUAGGUGAAGUCCCUGCGGAUGGAGCUGAGACCAGUCGAAGAUACCAGCUGGCUGCAACUGUUUAUUAAAAACACAGCACUGUGCAAACACGAAAGUGGACGUAUACGGUGUGACGCCUGCCCGGUGCCGGAAGGUUAAUUGAUGGGGUUAUCCGUAAGGAGAAGCUCUUGAUCGAAGCCCCGGUAAACGGCGGCCGUAACUAUAACGGUCCUAAGGUAGCGAAAUUCCUUGUCGGGUAAGUUCCGACCUGCACGAAUGGCGUAAUGAUGGCCAGGCUGUCUCCACCCGAGACUCAGUGAAAUUGAACUCGCUGUGAAGAUGCAGUGUACCCGCGGCAAGACGGAAAGACCCCGUGAACCUUUACUAUAGCUUGACACUGAACAUUGAGCCUUGAUGUGUAGGAUAGGUGGGAGGCUUUGAAGCGUGGACGCCAGUCUGCGUGGAGCCAACCUUGAAAUACCACCCUUUAAUGUUUGAUGUUCUAACGUUGGCCCCUUAUCGGGGUUGCGGACAGUGUCUGGUGGGUAGUUUGACUGGGGCGGUCUCCUCCCAAAGCGUAACGGAGGAGCACGAAGGUUAGCUAAUCCUGGUCGGACAUCAGGAGGUUAGUGCAAUGGCAUAAGCUAGCUUGACUGCGAGCGUGACGGCGCGAGCAGGUGCGAAAGCAGGUCAUAGUGAUCCGGUGGUUCUGAAUGGAAGGGCCAUCGCUCAACGGAUAAAAGGUACUCCGGGGAUAACAGGCUGAUACCGCCCAAGAGUUCAUAUCGACGGCGGUGUUUGGCACCUCGAUGUCGGCUCAUCACAUCCUGGGGCUGAAGUAGGUCCCAAGGGUAUGGCUGUUCGCCAUUUAAAGUGGUACGCGAGCUGGGUUUAGAACGUCGUGAGACAGUUCGGUCCCUAUCUGCCGUGGGCGCUGGAGAAUUGAGGGGGGCUGCUCCUAGUACGAGAGGACCGGAGUGGACGCAUCACUGGUGUUCGGGUUGUCAUGCCAAUGGCACUGCCCGGUAGCUAAAUGCGGAAGAGAUAAGUGCUGAAAGCAUCUAAGCACGAAACUUGCCCCGAGAUGAGUUCUCCCUGAGACUUUAAGUCUCCUGAAGGAACGUUGAAGACGACGACGUUGAUAGGCCGGGUGUGUAAGCGCAGCGAUGCGUUGAGCUAACCGGUACUAAUGAACCGUGAGGCUUAACCUU